AACUUAGCUUGCUAAGUUUGAUGGCGACCGGCGCACGGGUGAGUAACACGUAUCCAACCUGCCGAUGACUCGGGGAUAGCCUUUCGAAAGAAAGAUUAAUACCCGAUGGCAUAAUUCUUCCGCAUGGUAGAAUUAUUAAAGAAUUUCGGUCAUCGAUGGGGAUGCGUUCCAUUAGGUUGUUGGCGGGGUAACGGCCCACCAAGCCUUCGAUGGAUAGGGGUUCUGAGAGGAAGGUCCCCCACAUUGGAACUGAGACACGGUCCAAACUCCUACGGGAGGCAGCAGUGAGGAAUAUUGGUCAAUGGACGAGAGUCUGAACCAGCCAAGUAGCGUGAAGGAUGACUGCCCUAUGGGUUGUAAACUUCUUUUAUACGGGAAUAAAGUGAGGCACGUGUGCCUUUUUGUAUGUACCGUAUGAAUAAGGAUCGGCUAACUCCGUGCCAGCAGCCGCGGUAAUACGGAGGAUCCGAGCGUUAUCCGGAUUUAUUGGGUUUAAAGGGAGCGUAGGCGGACGCUUAAGUCAGUUGUGAAAGUUUGCGGCUCAACCGUAAAAUUGCAGUUGAUACUGGGUGUCUUGAGUACAGUAGAGGCAGGCGGAAUUCGUGGUGUAGCGGUGAAAUGCUUAGAUAUCACGAAGAACUCCGAUUGCGAAGGCAGCUUGCUGGACUGUAACUGACGCUGAUGCUCGAAAGUGUGGGUAU
rnacentral:rRNA from 1 species